rnacentral:rRNA from 1 species
UACGGAGGGGGCAAGCGUUAUUCGGAAUUAUUGGGCGUAAAGGGCGCGUAGGCGGCUAGAUGUGUCAAAGGUGAAAUCCCUCGGCUCAACUGAGGAACUGCCUUUGAAACUGUCUGGCUUGAGGCCGGGAGAGGGUAGCGGAAUUCCCAGUGUAGCGGUGAAAUGCGUAGAUAUUGGGAGGAACACCAGUGGCGAAGGCGGCUCUCUGGUACGUGACUGACGCUGAGACGCGAAAGCGUGGGGAGCAAACAGG